GACGAACGCUGGCGGCGUGCUUAACACAUGCAAGUCGAACGGUGAUCUUGAGAGCUUGCUCUUGGGUGAUCAGUGGCGAACGGGUGAGUAACACGUGAGUAACCUGCCCCUGACUCUGGAAUAACUUCGGGAAACCGAAGCUAAUACCGGAUAUGACACAGAGCCGCAUGGUUUCUGUGUGGAAGGUUUUUCGGUUGGGGAUGGACUCGCGGCCUAUCAGCUUGUUGGUGAGGUAAUGGCUCACCAAGGCGACGACGGGUAGCCGGCCUGAGAGGGCGACCGGCCACACUGGGACUGAGACACGGCCCAGACUCCUACGGGAGGCAGCAGUGGGGAAUAUUGCACAAUGGGCGAAAGCCUGAUGCAGCGACGCCGCGUGAGGGAUGACGGCCUCGGUUGUAACGUACUUCUACCACGGAGAAGACGCGACGUAGACGGUACCGUCGCGACGAAGAAGACGACCGGCCGUAACCUAACCGUUACGCCGACGCGACGCCGCCGGUAAAACCGGUAACCGUAACC
rnacentral:rRNA from 1 species